UACGUAGGGGGCGAGCGUUGUCCGGAAUCAUUGGGCGUAAAGCGCGUGUAGGCGGCCCGGUAAGUCCGCUGUGAAAGUCCAGGGCUCAACCCUGGGAUGCCGGUGGAUACUGUCGGGCUCGAGUCCGGAAGAGGCGAGUGGAAUUCCUGGUGUAGCGGUGAAAUGGCGCAGAUAUCAGGAGGAACACCAAUGGCGAAGGCAGCUCGCGGGACGUGACUGACGCUGAGACGCGAAGCGU
rnacentral:rRNA from 1 species